GUAGUUCUCCUGAUGUUUGGCACAACUUUCUAAUUUCUUAUUUCAAAUUCUAAGAGAAGAAUUCAUUGCUGGAUCUUUGAUGAGAGUCAUGAUAAGGCUUUAAUCUCAAAUAAGACUUUGUUCACGCUUUUAAUCAGUAGGCUUGUUUUGAUUGGUCCAGACUGAUCCAAAGCUGGUCAGCAACACCACUUCUUCAUUGGUCUGGGCCAGAGGGAGGGUGAGAGAAUCAGCACCCUCUGCUGGUCACUAAAGUAAAAGGCAGUGUCACCCACACACAGGUGUUCCCCAUCUUUCUAUCAGAGCACAGCUGCUUCACCCCUAAUUAUACGCCUAGAGGCCACAUGAAACAUACUCCCUGUCUGCUCACAGUAUGUGUUCUCCGGGAGCAAAGCUUUGUUGCUCUGAAAGCUUUUUUUUUUUACUUUAAAGACCGAACAGGAGAUGCAUUGUGAGACAAGCAGCCUGUCUAAAUAUCAGUAUGAUGACAACUCAGUAACUACACCAACAACAGAACUGCAGCUGUCCAGGUGACCUAAAUCCACUGUCAUUAUACCAGAGAACGGCAGAUGUCCAGGUCGCUGAGUCAUUAUGGCCUUCUGGUGGACAUCAUCUCCAACCGUGGGCCCAAAUUCACAUCACGGGUAUGGAGAGCCUUUAUGGAGAAGCUCAGGGUCACUGUCAGCCUCACUUCCGGGUAUAGGCCUCAGUCCAACAGGCAAGUGUAGAGGAGGAACCAGGAGCUGGGGAGGUUCCUGAGGAGUCACUACCAGGACCGGCAUGGAGAGUGUCACGUCUACUCCCGCUCCUCCCCUCCGGCGUUCGAGCUCGCUGGUUUACUAACCACCAGUCCUGGGAACCAUCAUCCCGCGCACUUGCACUUCAUCAGUACGCACACCUGGACUCCAUUACCUGGACUCCAUUACCUCCCCUUUAUCUGACACUCCCUUAGUUUCUUUCCCAAGGCAGUAUCGUUUUCUGUUGUUCAUAUCUAGAUGCUACUCCUAUGUUGUAUCAUUACACGUUUCUUGUUAUAUUAAUCUUACUACCUGCUUCUUGACUCCCAGAGUCUACAUUACAGUAGAUUAAAAUCAAAACUGUAAUCCGGCCACUCAGGAAUUCACUGUAAAUAACUCCAGUGCAGAUUUGGCUUUGUGUUUUAGGUUAUUGCCCUGCUGAAGGGAGAAUUCAUCUCCCAGUAUCUAGUGGUAAGCAGACAACCAGGUUUUCCUUUAGGAUUUUGCCUGUGCUUAGCUCCAUUCCGUAAAUGUUUUACCCUGAAAUACUCCCCAGUACUUAAUGAUUACAAGCACACCCAUAACAUGAUGCAGCCACCACUAUGCUUGAAAACAUAGUGUGGUACUCAGUGAUGGAU